AACGAACGCUGGCGGCGUGCCUAACACAUGCAAGUCGAGCGAGAAAGUCCCCGCAAGGGGAUGAGUAAAGCGGCGAACGGGUGAGUAACACGUGGGCAACCUGCCCUUCAGUCAGGAAUAACCCCGCGAAAGCGGGGCUAAUACCGGAUAAUGUCCUUUGGGGGCAUCCUCGGGGGACCAAAGGGGGCGAGCGAAAGCGGCUCCCGCUGAAGGAUGGGCCUGCGGCUGAUUAGCUAGUUGGUGGGGUAGCGGCCUACCAAGGCGACGAUCAGUAGCCGACCUGAGAGGGUGACCGGCCACACUGGGACUGAGACACGGCCCAGACUCCUACGGGAGGCAGCAGUGGGGAAUGUUGCGCAAUGGGCGAAAGCCUGACGCAGCGACGCCGCGUGGGUGAUGAAGGCCUUCGGGUCGUAAAACCCUGUCGGGUGGAACGAAUUCCGCUUCGCUAAUACCGGAGCGGUUUGACGGUACCACCGAAGGAAGCCCCGGCUAACUACGUGCCAGCCGCCGCAGUAAAAC
rnacentral:rRNA from 1 species